AGACGGGGGGGGCGAGCGUUGUUCGGAAUUACUGGGCGUAAAGGGCGCGCAGGCGGCUUGGGAAGUCUUGGGUGAAAGCCCCCAGCUCAACUGGGGAAUGGCCUGAGAAACCACUAGGCUGGAGUGCUGGAGAGGGAAGCGGAAUUCCCGGUGGAGCGGUGAAAUGCGUAGAUAUCGGGAGGAACACCAGAGGCGAAGGCGGCUUCCUGGACAGACACUGACGCUGAGGCGCGAAAGCUAGGGGAGCAAACGGGAUUAGAUACCCCGGUAGUCC
rnacentral:rRNA from 1 species